GGUUGCUGAUGAAACACCGUGUUGAGAAUUCCGAAAUCUCUGUCAAUGGUGGCCAUGGAUCCCUUUAGCCAUUCCCACUCGGAGUGAUCAUAGUAAGGUACCAGAGGGUUCGUGUGUUGAAGUACGGCCACUAUGAUAAGCAUGGCGUUUGUGAAAAGGUAUGGUCCUCCGUAGAUGAAAGCGGCCGAUGCGAACCCUUUUAACAUAGCAAGUUUGUAAACUGCAUAGAUCACGGCAAAACAUCCAGCAUCGGAAAGCAAGACUUGCGCGCGUUGUUUUCGUGAAAACAUUGGACUGUAUGGAUCAAAAUGUGAGGCAAAUCGAUCGUAAGUGCGACCACGGAAGUUGACAAGCAAGUAUAGAGGCACCGCAACAACUAAAACCAAGGCAAUAACCAAUACUCUUGCUACUGGAUUUUUGAGGUAUUUAAAGAUGAAUGAAACUUGAGACUUAAGCAGCGGGACAUCAAAUUCCUCUUCUUCUAGGGAUCCGGUUCUCGAGUGGUGGCGAUGGUGGCUGUACUUGAAUGAAAAGUAAGGAAACAGGACGACAGAGUGGGUGAUGAAUCCCACUGUGUCGUCGAGCCAUUGGUACUCACUGAAAGCGUUGUGUCCGCAUUCAUGACCUAUGACCCAAAAUCGGGCUAGAAUCAGACCUUGAAGCACCGAAUAUAUAAUCCCGGCUGUAACAAGAUAUAAUUUAGAAGACUGAACCAAUUCAGAGGUUAAGAUAUAGUUUGCGGCGAUGUGGUAAAGAGAGAAUAAGAUGAUGACAUCGAAGACAAGGUAUGACAAAGAGCGAAUAGCCGAACGCUCAAAGCAAUGAGGCGGAACUGCUUUCUUAACAUCGCUUAGAGUGAAGGGAGGUUUGACGUGAGGAGAUCUUGAUGCUCUUUUCACGGGAGAAUUCGAUUUUUGUUCCAUAUUUAUCUGCAAAAAUUGAAUUAGCUGUAAUUAAGUAAUCACAUUCCGAUAAUCAGAUAAAUAAACAUUUUGAAAGCAUAAAUAAUUAGCUAUCACUAAGAAAUGUACCUUGCUGCAGUGUCUUGACUCGGAAUUGUUGUGGUUAAUAUAUUUGAAAUCGGCUUGUAUAUAUAGGCACAUUAAAAUUACCUACCACUUUCCUGAUAGGCUGCAUAUAUUAUGGCUAAGGUCUAAGGAUGUCAAUGUUACAUGCAUCUUCUGGACGCCGCCAUUAAAAAGCAAAGCUGCAUACAAGAACAUCUGAUACAAAUAAGUACCGUAACCUUUUUUAUAUUUCUUGAAUGUCAUGCAAGUUGAAUAUUGUUUUGUUAACCUAGUUUCAUAAUUUGAUCAGCCUGUUUUUCAUAAUAUUUUAGUUCCCCACUUGGUUCACUAGCUCGCAUUGUGACGGUGAGUAGUAUUAUCUGUAAUUGCAAUCUCUUAGAAACCAAAGUAUACAUCAUACCACUGACUUUGUCCUUUUUAAUAAUCUCUUCCCAUUAUUUCCCAAUGAACAGUAAGAUAUAAUAUAUAUUCCUAUAUAAAAGUUAAAAUAAUGUGUAUUUUUUGAUUUUAAGGAUUGAAUCUUUAUGUUUUUCACAAAUUGUUAUUUAUAUUUUUCAUGCUAAAAACUAGUUUAUAGUUUAUUAUGUCAAGUGACAAUUACACAGUAUAUAUCAUAUAGAGAAUUCGGAAUAUAAUGUGUGUGUAUAUGUAUAUAUUUAUUUAUUGAUGAAACAUAAAGCUGGGUGUAGGACUAGGCAGCUUAAGCGCCUCCGAUCCAAAAAUUAUAAAUUUUUUAUAAUAAAUAUAAAAAUUAUACGCGUCAGAAAGAAUUAGUUAAUGUUUACAGAUGGGUUUUAACACGUAUAAUCUUAUAUUUGAUAUUAAAAAUUAUCAAUAUUUGAAAAAUAUUUUAUCUAAAUUUUUUUUUAUCAAACUUUUUAUCCGCCCUUGCUGGAUGCCGUGGUAUCAAUUGUCAAAUGUCAAAGGCACCUUACGGUCCUUACCUGUUCCUAUAGCUACAUUCUUUUGUCUAGGCAUACUUUGAUCAGUAUUUUAAUGCAAAAAACCAGAGAAUAAUAAUUCACACAUCACUGAAUGCUUUAAUAAUAGUCAUCAUCCAUCCGAUAUUGAUGGCUAAUUAAACUGUCGUCUAACUCGCAAGUGUGCAUUUCUGUUGACAACAGAAGAAAAUGACAAUCAUAAGUGGUUUUGUUGAAAUCUAUAUGCGUUAGAUAGUAGAAGAAAAUGACAAUCAUGAAUGACUUUGUUGAAUAUCUAUAUAUUUUUAGAAAAAUUAGCUUGCCAUCGUAUUAGACUUCUGUUUUGAUUUAUAGCUAUAAAGAAAAGAAUUUAAGCAUUGAAUAUGUGUAGAGUAACUUGCACGCUUUUCUGGCUCAAAAAGGUGUUAACAAGAGCUUCAUCAAAUUUUUUCAAAAAAAAAGAGAGCUUCAUCAAAUUUAAAAUAUUAAUAUUAGUAUGGGAAUUCAGAAAAAGUUAUUUAUCAUUUAAAAUAAUGAAAUAAAUUAUAAAUAAUAUGAUGGUCAUGAUUUAGAAGUUAUUAAAAAAUAACCUAUAAGUUAUUUAAGUAUUUAAAUAAUUUUUGUUAAUUUAAACGCUAGAUCGAAACAUAAAAAAACUAGUUUUUUCUGUUUUCUAAUUCUUCCCACAUAAUUUUUGUAAGUGUUUUUAUUUUUUAUUUUAUACAAAUGCGUCAAGAAAAACGAAAAUGAACUCAAAUAAAAGAAAAAUGAAUCUACUUUUUUGCGCAAACAAAUUAUAAAAAACCGACUUCUCUUGGGGAAAAAAAAAGCACGCCGGAUGCCCAAACAUGCCCGUACUGAUGCGUCAAUAAAUUAAACAAGGUGAUAUGAGGCCAGAAUUAAGAUGACAUGGAAGUACAGUGUCAACUAAAAAUAUUUAUUAUUCAAAUCUAUCAGGUUUCUUCUGAUAAUCUGAUUAUUUAUAAACAUUUAUAUAUAUUAUAUAUUUUAUUUCAAAAAUAAACUCUCGUAUUGAUUUCAAAGAUUUACUUAAAUUGAUACUGCAUAUUUUACUUAAAUAAUAUAAAGCUUAAUGAUCUUUUGGCCCUCGAAGUAUGGGUGGAAGUUCCGAUGCGGUCUCGAAGUUUAAAAACGUACCUUUCGACCCUCAAAGUAUCUUUGUCGUACCUUUUAGCCCCUUUUAAAGAUACCGGUAUAAAUCGGAGGAUAAACUUGACAAUUUAUAUUCGGGGUAAAGUUUGGGCGUACCUUUUAACCCUUAAAGUAUACAUCUCAUUCCUUUUAACCCCUAAAGAAUAUAUAAAAUACAUUAGAUGUUCCUUUUAACCCUUAAUGUUUAAUGCCCCUUUUAACCCUCACGUGUGAAAUGUCAACUUUGUCCACCCCGUUAUAUACUGGUAUACGCCGUAAAGGCUAAAAGGUACGACAAAUAUACUUUGAGGAUCGAAAGAUACGUUUUUAAAUUUCGUGGCCGCAUCGAAAUUUUCAUCCAAACUUCAAGUGUUAAAAGGUUAUUAAGCCAUAAUAUAAUGACACUAGUUCAAUCCUUUACGUAUAGAUUAAAAGUGACUACAAUAUCCCGGCAAAAAAAAUGUGACUGCAGUAUAAGUUAAUACAUAAAGUUCAAAACCCAAAUAAUAAAUCUAUGUACAUCAUUAACGAGAAAGAGUAAUAUUAGAACCGCGAUCCUGACCCAGAGGCAAGCAAUACGUACUUAAUAUUAUACGAAACAUUGUAACAUAGAGUGCGCAUGAAAUGGCUUUCAUGCCUGAGAUCCCACUUCAUAUAUUGUGCGAUGCUUAGGGUAGUCAUAUGGACGCAAUGUUCAUGUAAAUUUCUCGGAUAUAGCCCAAAUAGAGGGUCUUUCAUUAGUAUAUUCAGACUCGGCCCAAUAUUUGAGCCUAAUAUAUAUUUGAGCCCACGACAAACAAAGCCCAUUCACAAAAGGCCCGGGACCAUUAACAAAAAGAUAAGCAGCUUCUGACAAUGCCUAAUUAGCUAGCUCCGUUUCUGUGUAUUUGAUCAAAGAACAGUGUUUAUAACAAUCAUCAUGAUACAAUACAGGUAACUAAAAUUUUUCCAAAGAAAUAAAUAUAAUUAUCACCAUACAAGCUCCCUCACUAAUUUUUAAUUAUUAUUUUGUUUGUCAAAGGUGCCGAACUCUCAAUGCUCAAAACUUGUUGUUGUACCAAUAUAUCCCUUUGUUGUCUUCAUCUUCCUCAACGUAGACACAGUCAUUUAUGGUGUUCCAAAUUGACUUAUAGAAUGGAGUGAAAUCAUACUGAUAGUACUCCCCAAGCACAGGUUUAAAUGCCUUGGUGGCUUCCACCGCAUGGUAAUGUGGCAUCUUCGGGAAGAGAUGGUGCGCUACGUGAGUAUUCGGCUGCUGAUGAAACACCGUGUUGAGAAAUCCGAAAUCUCUAUCGAUGGUAGCCAUGGAUCCCUUCAGCCAUUCCCACUCGGAGUGAUCAUAGUAAGGUACGAGAGGGUUCGUGUGUUGAAGUACGGCCACUAUGAUAAGCAUGGCAUUUGUGAAUAGGUAUGGUCCUCCGUAAAUGAAAGCCACCCAUGCGAAUCCUUUUAGCAAAGCGAGUUUGUAUAGUGUAAAGAUCACGGCCAAACAUCCAGCAUCCGAAAGCAAGACGAGAGCGCGUUGCUUGCGUGAGAACAUUGGGCUAUACGGAUCAAAAUGGGAGGCGAAUCGAUCGUAAACUCGACCGCGGAAGUUGACAAGAAGGUACAGAGGCACCGCAACAGCUAGAACUGCAGCAACAACGAAGAAUCGCGCUACAGGAUUUUUGAGGUGUCUGAAGAGCAAUGGAACUUGGGACUUGAGCAGCGGGAUGUCAAAUUCUUCUUCUUCGAGGGAUCCGGUUCUCGAGUGGUGUCGAUGGUGGCUGUACUUGAAUGAAAAGUAAGGGAACAGAACGACAGAGUGGGUGACGAAUCCCACUGUGUCGUCGAGCCAUUUGUAGUCACUAAAAGCGUUGUGUCCGCAUUCGUGACCUAUGACCCAAAAUCGGGCCAGGAUACAGCCUUGUAGCACCGAAUAAAUAAUCCCGGACAUAAAAAGGUACAAUUUCGAUGAUUGUACUAAUUCGGAGGUUAAGAUAUAGUUUGCGGCGAUGUGGUAAAGAGAGAAUAAGAUGAUGACAUCGAAGACAAGGUAUGACAAAGAGCGAAUGGCCGAACGCUCAAAGCAAUGAGGCGGAACUGCUUUCUUAACAUCGCUUAAAGUGAAUGGAGGUUUUACGUGGGGAGAUCUUGAGGCUCUUUUCACAGUAGAACUCAUCUCUUGUUCAGUCUUCAAUAGAAUGCGCUUCUUAAAGGAUGUGGAUUAUUGUUGUGAUAAUUGGAGAGGCGAUGUGGCUGCUAUAUAUAGGCAUGUUAAGGCACCAACUCCUCUAUCUAAUUAGCUGAAUGUGGAGAAAGUAAUUUCCGAGAAAGCAAGAUAAAUUUAAAUAUGUUUAAGCCGUCAUUAAUCUAACAUUUACUGGUAGUUUAUGUCUAUUGCUGUGGACUAAGAGAUAUGCUGCAUUUAGGCUCCGCUGUUAUUCAAAUAUGAUUGCUCUAAUAUAUGGGACCUACUCUUUGGUUUGUAGUUGAAUAAGAGGAAUGAGAUAGACUAAUAGUAGUGCAGUUACUGGAACGUUGGCCUAAUUCUCUAACCUCAUGCAAUUGUGAGCUUCGACUAAUAAAACGAGGGAAAACUAUUACUCUCAGGACUUUAAGUGCUUUAAUCCGGCGGCAGUUAAAAAUUUUAUUUUUUAAUUAUUUUUAAUAAACAAUUGUAAGUAAAUUUUUUAAUUCGUAUAGUGUUUGUAUUAUAUAAACUUUUUGUUUUUAAAAUUUUUGAAAUAUAAAUAAUUUAAAUAGACAUUCAAAAACGAAAGUGUGUAAAAAAGAUGAUGGAACGUAGCGAGUAUUACAAUGGUGCAGUUACUUGAACGUUGGCCUAAUUAUAGCUCAGGCAAUUGUGAACUUCGACCAAUAAUUGUAUACAGAAUUAUAUACAUAAUGACAUGUGGGAGGUUUUAAUUGAAAUGGGCCUCCUGUAUUCACAUCAACCACCCCAGUUAAAACCCUCCCCCUCAAUUGCCACAUCAUUAUGUACAAGUUUUAUGUACACAAUUAUGUGCACCUAGCACUACUCUAAUAGUAUACAGACGAGAGAACUGUUACAUGAACAUGGACCUUAAACAAAUUUACCUCUUGAUAUUUAGUAUAUAUUUAUUUAAAUUAUAAAUGAAAUUUAGAUUUCACUUAAUUAACAAAAGUAUAAACUAUAUUUAAUAAAUCAAAUUCAAAUCCGGCCUAAAUUAUUGUAUUUCAUUUUCAAUGCAUUUCAUCUCAAUCAUUAUUUUCACAUUUUGUUUGAUCAUCAUCUCAUAAUUUGGUUAUCAUUAUCAUCUGGGGUGUGGUUGUGAUUUAUCAUUAUCUUCUUUAGAAUUUCAAAAUUGUCUAUAUGCAACGUCUAUUAUUGUUAAUGCCCUAUUAACUUAUAUUUUAUUCUUAUAUAUAUAUAUAUAUAUAUAUAUAUAUAUAUAAACUUUUUUUUUGUAAAUAUUAAAUAUUAAAAAUCUCAUAAAUAUUUAAUUUUAAAUAUACCAUAUUCAUAAAAAAGAUUUCAAAAUAAAUCUUUACUUCUAUAUCUUGAACUUUUGGCAUGCGCCCACUAUGUUAUCAAUCAGUUUUUCAAGGUUGACUCUUAGAUAAAUUACUCUGUAUUUUGUAAUAUACAUAAAUUACUUUAAUAUAGUGAUGUGAGACUAAUUUAUUCAAAAAUUUGAAGCAUGAAUAUUAAGAGUAUACUUAAUGUUGAUCUGCACCUGACCUUUAUAAUUUAUAUAUAUAUUUUUUAAACUCGUUCUUACAUUUAUAAAUAUAAAUAUUAUCGAAACAUAUAUCAAUCACUACAUCUAUUUACUUUCGAAAAACUUGCAUGCAUAUUCUAAAAAGCAUACACCCCAGUUGCAGCUGUUUAAAAUAAAUUAUGGGAUAAAAUUAUUCCAAAAACCAGUCCACGCUCCACGGAGUUCAUCAUCCACAAGCAUCCCAAUUCAUUUUAAUCAUACUUGUAUAUAUAAACUCAGAGUAUAGUUCUACUGUAUUUAAGUGUAUAUAUCUAAAAUAUCAAGUAUACCAAAGAUUAGCACAGAAGUAGAUGUAGAAUGCAAUUGAACUUUAACACAUCUCCAAAUUCUUUGAUUAUUGCAAUAAUUUAUUAUACUAAUAUACAAAUUAAAGCUAGCUACUUUAGUGUCUAAAAAUAGCAUCAAUGAAUAUAACUGUAAAACAAAUCACAAUACAGUGCAAGUAAAAGCUUCAAAAAAGAAGCAGCUAUUUAUGGGACAAGCUUCCAGGCCGACUUUACUCUCUGGUUUUUAUUUUUUGCUAGUCAAGAAGCUCAAACACCAUACACUUGAUAAUUCAACUUAAAACUUGUUGUUAUACCAGUAUAUUCCUUUGUUCUGCGUAUCUUCCUCAACGUAGACACAAUCGUUUAUGGUAUUCCACAGUGACUUGUAGAAUGGGGUGAAAUCAUACUGAUAGUACUCGCCCAAUAUUGGCUUAAAUGCUUUGGUGGCUUCCACUGCAUGGUAAUGCGGCAUCUUCGGGAAGAGAUGGUGAGCUACGUGAGUAUUCGGCUGCUGAUGAAACACCGUGUUGAGGAAUCCGAAAUCUCUGUCAAUGGUAGCCAUAGAGCCCUUUAGCCAUUCCCACUCGGAGUGAUCAUAGUAAGGUACGAGAGGGUUCGUGUGUUGAAGUACGGCCACUAUAAUAAGCAUGGCAUUUGUGAAUAGGUAUGGUCCUCCGUAGAUGAAAGCGACCCAUGCGAAUCCUUUUAGCAAAGCAAGUUUGUAUAGUGCAAAGAUCACGGCCAAACAUCCAGCAUCAGAGAGCAGGACUAGAGCGCGUUGCUUACGCGAAAACAUUGGGCUAUACGGAUCAAAAUGGGAGGCGAAUCGAUCAUAAACUCGACCACGGAAGUUGACAAGAAGGUAUAGAGGCACUGCAACAGCUAGAACAGCACCAACAACCAAGACUCUCGCUACUGGAUUUUUGAGGUGUCGGAAAAGAAAGGGAACUUGGGACUUGAGCAGUGGGAUAUCAAAUUCUUCUUCCUCGAGCGAUCCAGUUCUCGAGUGGUGCCGAUGGUGGCUGUACUUAAACGAAAAGUAAGGAAACAAGACUACCGAGUGUGUUAUAAAUCCAACUGUGUCGUCGAGCCACUGGUAUUUGCUGAAAGCAUUGUGUCCGCAUUCAUGACCUAUGACCCAAAAUCGGGCCAAGAUACAGCCCUGAAGCAGCGCAUAAACAAUCCCAGAAGUAACAAGAUACAAUUUAGAAGACUGUACUAAUUCGGAUUUCAAGAUAUAGUUUGCGGCGAUGUGGUAAAGAGAGAAUAAGAUGAUGACAUCGAAGACAAGGUACGACAAAGACCGAAUUGCCGAACGCUCAAAACAGUGAGGCGGAACUGCUUUCUUAACAUCACUUAAAGUGAACGGAGGUUUCACGUAGGGAGAUCUCGAAGCUCUUUUAACCGUAGUAUCCACCUUUUGUUCCAUGUCUCUGCAAUAAAUAUAGCAAAAACACAGUCAAUUAACUGGAAUUAAAACAGAAAUCAACAGGAGCACGAUCGGAUAGCCCAAGUGGUGGGUUUAUCAACCGUUGUCUUGAUACACACAUGUUCGAUUCUGACUCAGAUAUUUAUUUGCAAGGCAUAUAAGGCUAAAUUGAAGAAAUCAACGUAAGAUUUAGAACUAUUGAAGAUUGUAAGUACC
rnacentral:lncRNA from 1 species